CAGCCAGUCAGAGCAGGAGGGAUGCCAGACUUCAGGAGAGAGCAGGGAGUGGGGCUGAAGCAAGGGAGAAAGAGGAGGAUUAUCACAGGUGAGGGCAGUGCCCUCUGAAGCAGGAGGACACUCCAUGUGGGCCACUGUCCUUGGAUGAGGGAGAAUGGGAGGAGAAGAGGGCCAAGUCACCCCUGGAGAAGUCCUGCAGGCUCCCAGCUUGCCAUUUGUGCCAGCCUGGCCAUGGCUGUGCCUCUGCUGAGCCUCCUGCCCCAGGACCUGCCUGACCCUGCUGCUCUGACCCACAGAAGCUGUUCUCCAAGCCACUGGUGGGAAUUUGGGUUGGCCCUCAGUGACCAGAGCUCUGCUGCUGCCCUGCCUAAGGUUAACACAGGUGAAGCAAACAGCCCCUCUGCCCCAGAGGCUUUUCAAGUGCCCGGGAGCGGGGCUGGUGUCACGGGGAGGCUGCACAGCCCACAGCUGCAGUGCUGGAGUGCAGCUUGGACAGCCAGCUCCUCCAAGGGCAGCAGGCAGAGAGCUGAGAGCCUGCAUGGUGAAACUGCCCCGCGGAGAUGGCUCUGGACUGCAGGAGCUCUUCCUCAGCAGCUGCCGGGCUGGAUCAGGAUGGGAUUGCAUCACCCUCACACCCACGGAGAUCUGCUGCCCAGGGACUCGCUGCACCCUGGGGACGGUCCAGCUCAGUGACAGGGGCAGAUCAGGGCUGAGUGGCCGUGGUCCGUGGGUGUCCCUUCACCAGGGGACGUGUGUUGGGUGAGCCCAGUGCUGGAGGAGCGUCUGCAGUGCUGCAUUGGCCCUUCCUCAGCUGCAUGGAUGCCCCUGCCUGCGAUCCCCAGGGAAUCCACCCACACAGGGCUGCAUUCCCAGCUGCAGAAGAGCUGCUGGAGGGCAGCAGCCUGUGUCCCACUGUCCCCCACAGCCCACCCUGCAUGGCUUCUGCUGGCUCUGGGGACUGAGUGUGCUGGGACCCUUCCUGUGGGUUUUAUGUGCAUUUCAUCUGGUAGUGAAACUAUAUUGCAAAAUGUAAUA